rnacentral:lncRNA from 1 species
UUUUUUUUUUUUUUUUUUUUUUGCUCCUCCAAUUCAGUGAUUUCAAAUGAUCCAUUUUCUAAGGUCUCUGAUUCUUUUGCCUGUUUGAGUCUGCUGCUGAACCAUUGUAUUGAAUACUUCAAUUCAUUUAUUGUAUUUUUCAGCGCCAGAAUUUGGUUUAAAUAAUUUCUGUUUUUGGUUGAUAUUCUCGUUUUGUUCAUACAUCACUAUCCUGAUCUCCUUUAGGCCUUUCUCAUGUUCUCCCAUAGAUCUCUGAGCAUAUUCAAGACAACUGUUUUAAAGUCUUUUCUAACAAGUCUGAUGCCUUGGUUUCUUCAGGGAUGGUUUCUAGAGAUACAUUUUGUUCCUAUGAAUGGGACAUGUUUUCCCCUUUCUUUGUAUCCUUGUGUGUGUGUGUGUGUGUGUGUGUGUGUUUAAACUGGGCAUUCGCAAAAGCAGUCAUCUAUUCCAGUCUUUGAAGAGUGGUGGGGAAAAGCUUCACUAAUUCAGAGGGCAUAUCCUAAUACCUGGUAUCAGCUUGAGGUGACAGCUUAAGGUCAUCUCAGAUCUUUUAGGGGCCUCUGUUUUUCUUUGGCUUAUACCAUACACAUGGCUGCUUUUAAAAGUCUUAAUUUCAACCCUGUCUCUACUAAAAAAUACAAAAAAACUAGCUAGGCGAGGUGGCGGGCGCCUGUAGUCCCAGCUACUCGGGAGGCUGAGGCAGGAGAAUGACGUAAACCCGGGAGGCGGAGCUUGCGGUGAGCUGAGAUCCGGCCACUGCACUCCAGCCUGGGCGACAGAGCAAGACUCCGUCUCAAAAAAAAAAAAAAAAAAAAAAGUCUUAAUUUCUCAAAAGGUCUUCACCCAGCUGCUUCUUAGGAACAAGAUGUCCUCUUAUAUUUUGUGCCCAUAAUCUCUUGCCCCAGGUAUCCACUGUGGUCCCCCGGCAGCUUUUACAUGUCGUGCCUGCCACUGCCUCCCAUGGCUCUUGCCGGCCUGAGAUGUGAACUGGGCCGCCUUCCCUGCUUCACCUCUGAGUCAGAUGACAUAGAAACCAGCCCUUCGGGCAGCCCAAAGAUGGCCGAACACUGCAAAUCAGUUCUGCUCUGCUCCUUCCAGUGCAAGGGAAGACACUGGAAACUGGGCUGCUUCCUCCGAAACACACAGUUGUGUGCCAGAGAGGGAUGGGGGAAGGGCAAAUACAAAUGACAUAAAAACUAUUUUGAAUGUGGGUUUUUCUUGACUGGGUGUUCACCUGGUUGCUAUAGACCUUUUGGGCUGGUUUCCAGAGCUCCUAGUGAGUGCCCAGUUGUUUUUGUUUUUUUUUCCCCUCAAUGUUUCCUCGGGGAAAUGUGGGCCUGGAGCUUCCUGGUCUGCCAUCUCCAAUCUCUCUUGAUUGGAGAAUUCAAUCCAUUUUACACUGAAAGUACUUACUGAUAAGAAGGGAGUUACUUCUGCCAUUUAAACUUUUUUUUUUUUUGGUUCCUUAUUUCCUCCAUUACUGCCUUCUGUGUUUGGUUCAUUUUUUAUAGUGACAUGGGGAUUACACUUGACAUCCUAACAUUACAACAACCUAAACUGAAUUUAUAUCAACCUAAUUUGAGUAACAUACAAAACUCUGCUCCUGUACU